rnacentral:lncRNA from 1 species
CAUCAACCUGCAAUUUACACAUACAAUAUACAUAUCAGUAAACUUAUUAUAUUUUCAUAUACCUAACAUUAUCAUUAAAAACAUAACUAACCUCACGGUUCUCAAAUACUUGGCUCAUUAGCUCAUGAAAACGACCCGAAGUAUUGCGCCUCGAAUGUAGGCAUUCUCUUCGUGCAUGGCCAAAUGCAGUUCAGCCAACGCUGGAAAGACCUCAUAAGCCCAAAUCUGAUUUGAAGAAGAAAACGUCAC